GCCCUUUGGCAACACAUAUAUUAAAACUGGAACAAUACAGAGGAGACUAGCAUGGCCUUGCACAAGGAUGACAUGCAAAUUCGUGAAGCAUUCCAUACUUUU